AGAUUUAAAGUAACAUUAUUUUAUUUACAAUCACCCAACAGGAAUCUGGCUGGGUUCAUUGUGACAAGGGUCACAAAACUUGGAGCCUUCCUAUGAAAAAAUACCCUACACCU
ensembl:snoRNA